CAACAAAGGUAUAUUUGAAUCAUGUGUAUUUUAUCCCUAGGGAAAUUGAUGAUGGUAUAAAAGAAGGUCAUCGUAUUGGAAAAGAAGUAUAAAAAAGUGGAAAUCAUGAAGCUGCAAAAGAACUCAGCGGAAAUAAAGAGAAAAAAAUCCCUGAUUUCUGAGCACAUUUUAUAUCCUGAACCAUUUUAUAGAAAUGAAGGAACUAAUUUAUUUUUAUAACACAUUCCAAGUGUCACACAGAAAGUUUUUAUGCUUCCAAGUACUCAGUGAGUAUUAUGAGCUGGGAACCAUUUUAAAAGACAGCCAAUUACUAGAAGAAGCAAUGCUGGAUUAUAACCCAUCUUGUAUAUUCA
rnacentral:lncRNA from 1 species